rnacentral:rRNA from 1 species
GGCUAGAGUUUGAUCAUGGCUCAGGACGAACGCUGGCGGCGUGCCUAACACAUGCAAGUCGAACGGAAAAUUGAGCUUCGGUUCAACUUUUAGUGGCGAACGGGUGAGUAACGCGUAGGCAACCUGCCCUUUAGACGGGGACAACAUUCCGAAAGGGAUGCUAAUACCGGAUGUGACGCUCCUAUCGCAUGACGGGAGCGUGAAAGAUGGCCUCUACAUGUAAGCUAUCGCUAAAGGAUGGGCCUGCGUCUGAUUAGCUAGUUGGUAGUGUAACGGACAACCAAGGCGAUGAUCAGUAGCCGGUCUGAGAGGAUGAACGGCCACAUUGGGACUGAGACACGGCCCAGACUCCUACGGGAGGCAGCAGUGGGGAAUCUUCCGCAAUGGGCGAAAGCCUGACGGAGCAACGCCGCGUGAGUGAAGAAGGUCUUCGGAUUGUAAAGCUCUGUUGUACAUGACGAAUGUGCCGGUUGUGAAUAAUGGCUGGUAAUGACGGUAGUGUACGAGGAAGCCACGGCUAACUACGUGCCAGCAGCCGCGGUAAUACGUAGGUGGCAAGCGUUGUCCGGAAUUAUUGGGCGUAAAGAGCAUGUAGGCGGCCUAUUAAGUCGGGCGUGAAAAUGCGGGGCUCAACCCCGUAUGGCGCCCGAUACUGGUGGGCUUGAGUGCAGGAGAGGAAAGGGGAAUUCCCAGUGUAGCGGUGAAAUGCGUAGAUAUUGGGAGGAACACCAGUGGCGAAGCGCCUUUCUGGACUGUGUCUGACGCUGAGAUGCGAAAGCCAGGGGAGCGAACGGGAUUAGAUGCCCCGGUAGUCCUGGCCGUAAACGAUGGGUACUAGUGUAGAGUAUCGACCCCCUCUGUGCNGAGUA